UACGUAGGUGGCGAGCGUUGUCCGGAUUUACUGGGCGUAAAGGGAGCGUAGGCGGACUUUUAAGUGAGAUGUGAAAUACUCGGGCUCAACUUGAGUGCUGCAUUUCAAACUGGAAGUCUAGAGUGCAGGAGAGGAGAAUGGAAUUCCUAGUGUAGCGGUGAAAUGCGUAGAGAAUAGGAAGAACACCAGUGGCGAAGGCGAUUCUCUGGACUGUAACUGACGCUGAGGCUCGAAAGCGUGGGGAGCAAACAGG
rnacentral:rRNA from 1 species